rfam:Rattus norvegicus chromosome 3, whole genome shotgun sequence.
GGAGAUUUAGCUCAGUGGUAGAGCGCUUGCUAGGCAAGGCCCUGGGUUCAGUCCCCAGCUCCG